CGUAGCCUUUAGCAACAUGGCGGCGUUCUUUGCCUUUCUGAACAGGAGUUCUCUCCGAGCUAUUUAUCGGUUAAAAGUAGUGAGUGAGAGUCACGACGCCUCAAAGAUUCAUCAGCUGCGACAUUUGACCUCAUGCACAAGUGCAAGAACGCCGAAGAGACAAGUUCACAAGCACACAUCACGAUGUCUACCCAGUCCCAGCAGCUGGCACGUACACUACCUACGACACAUUUCAACGACGUCGGUACUCAGCGACGAGUUUCGAGUCGUCAAGUGUCCACAACUUGCCGAGUCAUUGAGUGAAGGUGACAUACGAUGGAACAAAGCUGUUGGUGACACUGUGGCCGAGGACGAAGUUAUUUGCGAAGUAGAAACUGACAAGACAUCAGUGCCAAUCCACGCUCCGGCCGGUGGAGUCAUCCUCGAGAUCCUCGCCGCCGAUGGAACCACAGUGCAGCCUGGCAUGGACAUCUUCCGACUGCAGGUUGGAGGAGCUGGUGGUGCCCCUGCCGCUGCGCGCCCGGCAGCAGCACCGGCAGCUCCAGCGCCAACGCCGGUGACCAGCACGCCGCCUCCAGCCGCGUCAUCGGGACCAAUACCGACAACGCCGCCUCCCACGCCAGCAAUGCCCACAGGACCAAUGGCCUCGAUUCCAGUGUCCAGCAUUCAGGUACCGGGCCCCGCUGCGCAAGCCGCUGCUGCAGCGGCCACAGCAGCAGCACCAGUUGGCGCAAGAACAGAGCAAAGGGUGAAGAUGAACCGUAUGCGGCAAAGGAUCGCACAACGUCUAAAGGAUGCACAAAAUGUAUAUGCCAUGCUGACUACGUUCAACGAGGUUGACAUGACGAAUGUCAUCCAGAUGAGGAAUAAGUACAAGGACACCUUUGCCAAGAAGCAUGGCGUCAAGCUGGGGUUCAUGUCUCCAUUUGUCAAGGCUGCCGCUUUUGCCCUGCAAGACCAACCAAUUGUUAAUGCGGUCAUCGAUGAGCAAGAAAUUGUGUACCGUGACUACAUCGACAUCAGUGUGGCAGUUUCAACGCCAAAGGGCCUUGUCGUGCCUGUGAUUCGCAACUGUGAGCGAAUGAACUACGCUGACAUCGAGAAGGCCAUCUUCGAGCUGGGCGAGAAGGCCCGCACCGGCAGCUUGGCCAUCGAGGACAUGGACGGUGGCACCUUCACCAUCAGCAACGGUGGAGUCUUUGGCUCCAUGUUUGGCACACCCAUCAUCAACCCACCCCAGUCGGCCAUCCUCGGCAUGCACGCCAUUUUCGAAAGGCCCGUGGCCAUCAGUGGAAAGGUUGAGAUCCGGCCCAUGAUGUACAUUUGCUUGACCUACGACCAUCGGCUGAUCGACGGCAGGGAAGCUGUAACGUUCCUCAAGAAGGUCAAGUCCGCGGUCGAGGACCCUAAUGUGCUUGUGCUUGACGUCUAGCACUGGAUCGGAGCCCGGUGAUGCACCACGUAUAGAAAUGUCUGGAUAAAGUUAAAUGUGAGAGGCCUGGCACACUAUGGUGGAUUGUACUUGAGAGGCGCACUUCAAAGUCUGAAGAUUUUUUAUUUAGGUCUUUACAACCAUUUUGCGGAAAGAUGUUUUGAAGCUAGAUGUAGUAAUUUGGAACGGGCACAGCCAACAGCUUCACAGCAGCCCUAGUGUUGUUGCCUUUCGUUUGUGUACAGGCCUGCCACUUCUCUUAAUUUUAUUAUUUUUUUCAUUCAUCUAGAAAGUGAAACACCUUCAAUAACACAGAAAGGCACUACUUGCAAGGAGACGGUGUCUUUGUACGAUUGUUUACUGACUGCUUUACUAGAAUGUUUCGAAAGCAGUUUUGAGAAAGGCUGGAGAAAAGUGUUUUUGUUUUUACCUUUUAUCGAGAUCACACUUGCCGGUUUCAAGAUAAAAGGGCAUGAUUCAUUAAACCAUGUUACAAAGCUCU
rnacentral:misc_RNA from 1 species